GACGAACGCUGGCGGCGUGCUUAACACAUGCAAGUCGAACGAUGAAGCCUUUCGGGGUGGAUUAGUGGCGAACGGGUGAGUAACACGUGGGCAAUCUGCCCUGUACUUUGGGAUAAGCCUUGGAAACGAGGUCUAAUACCGGAUAUGACUGGCCUUCGCAUGGGGGUUGGGUUGAAAGUUACUGGCGGUACAGGAUGAGCCCGCGGCCUA
rnacentral:rRNA from 1 species